CGGAGGGGCUAGCGUUGUUCGGAAUUACUGGGCGUAAAGCGCACGUAGGCGGACUGGAAAGUUGGGGGUGGAAAUCCCGGGGCUCAACCUCGGAACUGCCUUCAAAACUAAUCAGUCUGGAGUUCGAGAGAGGUGAGUGGAAUACCGAGUGUAGAGGUGAAAUUACGUAGAUAUUCGGUGGAACACCAGUGGCGAAGGCGGCUCACUGGCUCGAUACUGACGCUGAGGUGCGAAAGCGUGGGGAGCAAACAGGAUU
rnacentral:rRNA from 1 species